UACAGAGGUGGCGAGCGUUGUUCGGAUUUACUGGGCGUAAAGGGUGCGUAGGUGGUUACGUGUGUCGGAUGUGAAAUCCCACUGCUCAACGGUGGAACUGCGUUCGAAACUACGAAACUAGAGUACAGGAGAGGAGAGCGGAAUUCUUGGUGUAGCGGUGAAAUGCGUUGAUAUCAAGAAGAACACCGGUGGCGAAGGCGGCUCUCUGGAAUGUUACUGACACUGAGGCACGAAAGCUGGGGGAGCGAACAGG
rnacentral:rRNA from 1 species